rnacentral:misc_RNA from 1 species
AAGUCGUAACAAGGUAACCGUAGGUGAACCUGCGGUUGGAUCAUUAAUAAUUCAAGAGGUACUUUACUGUAUCUUUUUGGCUCGCACUUUCUGUCGUCUGUGCUGGCGUCUUACCCUGUCCCUUUGUCAUUUAUAUGACUUUGAGAUGGUUACUGCGUCGGGACUUACUUGAUGGGAGGUGCUUGCUGAUAAAACACACUGUGCACUGUAACUGUAUUUUGGGAAGGUUAUCGGCAGCUACCCCAGAUUGGCACACUGUGUCAUAGAGAUUGGUAGCAUGUCUUACGACUUUCCCUGCCCAAACCCUAAACCCAAACCAACGUAUUUAAACAUCAUAUGACUUAUACUUUAUUUUUUUAACAAAAUAAUACAACUUUUGACAACGGAUCUCUUGGCUCUC